rnacentral:rRNA from 1 species
GAUCCUGGCUCAGGACGAACGCUGGCGGCGUGCCUAAUACAUGCAAGUAGAACGCUGAAGAGAGGAGCUUGCUCUUCUUGGAUGAGUUGCGAACGGGUGAGUAACGCGUAGGUAACCUGCCUUGUAGCGGGGGAUAACUAUUGGAAACGAUAGCUAAUACCGCAUAACAAUGGAUGACCCAUGUCAUUUAUUUGAAAGGGGCGAAAUGCUCCACUACAAGAUGGACCUGCGUUGUAUUAG